CACCGAGUCCGAGGCUCCGGACGACACCGGAGCCUGGUGCAAAAGGGA
rfam:Streptomyces sp. 4F, complete genome.